AUUGAACGCUGGCGGCAUGCCUUACACAUGCAAGUCGAACGGCAGCACGGGGGCAACCCUGGUGGCGAGUGGCGAACGGGUGAGUAAUACAUCGGAAUGUACCCAGUAGUGGGGGAUAACUAGUCGAAAGAUUAGCUAAUACCGCAUACGCACUAUGGUGGAAAGCGGGGGAUCGCAAGACCUCGCGCUAUUGGAGCAGCCGAUGUCCGAUUAGGUAGUUGGUGGGGUAAAGGCCUACCAAGCCUGCGAUCGGUAACUGGUCUGAGAGGACGACCAGUCACACUGGGACUGAGACACGGCCCAGACUCCUACGGGAGGCAGCAGUGGGGAAUUUUGGACAAUGGGGGAAACCCUGAUCCAGCAAUGCCGCGUGUGUGACGAAGGCC
rnacentral:rRNA from 1 species